CCCUUAGAGUUUGAUCCUGGCUCAGGAUGAACGCUAGCUACAGGCUUAACACAUGCAAGUCGAGGGGAAACGAUAUUGGAAGCUUGCUUCCGAUAGGCGUCGACCGGCGCACGGGUGAGUAACGCGUAUCCAACCUGCCCAUCACUUGGGGAUAACCUUGCGAAAGUAAGACUAAUACCCAAUGACGUCUCUAGAAGACAUCUGAAAGAGAUUAAAGAUUUAUCGGUGAUGGAUGGGGAUGCGUCUGAUUAGCUUGUUGGCGGGGUAACGGCCCACCAAGGCGACGAUCAGUAGGGGUUCUGAGAGGAAGGUCCCCCACAUUGGAACUGAGACACGGUCCAAACUCCUACGGGAGGCAGCAGUGAGGAAUAUUGGUCAAUGGACGAGAGUCUGAACCAGCCAAGUAGCGUGCAGGAUGACGGCCCUAUGGGUUGUAAACUGCUUUUAUAAGGGAAUAAAGUGAGUCUCGUGAGACUUUUUGCAUGUACCUUAUGAAUAAGGACCGGCUAAUUCCGUGCCAGCAGCCGCGGUAAUACGGAAGGUCCGGGCGUUAUCCGGAUUUAUUGGGUUUAAAGGGAGCGUAGGCCGGAGAUUAAGCGUGUUGUGAAAUGUAGACGCUCAACGUCUGCACUGCAGCGCGAACUGGUUUCCUUGAGUACGCACAAAGUGGGCGGAAUUCGUGGUGUAGCGGUGAAAUGCUUAGAUAUCACGAAGAACUCCGAUUGCGAAGGCAGCUCACUGGAGCGCAACUGACGCUGAAGCUCGAAAGUGCGGGUAUCGAACAGGAUUAGAUACCCUGGUAGUCCGCACGGUAAACGAUGGAUGCCCGCUGUUGGUCUGAAUAGGUCAGCGGCCAAGCGAAAGCAUUAAGCAUCCCACCUGGGGAGUACGCCGGCAACGGUGA
rnacentral:rRNA from 1 species